rnacentral:rRNA from 1 species
GGUUAAGCGACUAAGCGUACACGGUGGAUGCCUAGGCAAUCAGAGGCGAUGAAGGACGUGCUAAUCUGCGAAAAGCGUCGGUA